rnacentral:rRNA from 1 species
AACGAACGCUGGCGGCAGGCUUAACACAUGCAAGUCGAACGGUUGCAGCAAUGCAGCAGUGGCAGACGGGUGAGUAACACGUGGGAACCUUCCUAGGAGUACGGAACAACUCCGGGAAACUUUAGCUAAUACCGUAUACGUCCGUGAGGAGAAAGAUUUAUCGCCCUUAGACGGGCCCGCGUCGGAUUAGCUAGUUGGUGGGGUAACGGCCUACCAAGGCGACGAUCCGUAGCUGAUCUUAGAGGAUGAUCAGCCACACUGGGACUGAGACACGGCCCAGACUCCUACGGGAGGCAGCAGUGGGGAAUCUUGGACAAUGGGCGCAAGCCUGAUCCAGCCAUGCCGCGUGAGUGAAGAAGGUCUUCGGAUUGUAAAGCUCUUUUACCAGGGACGAUAAUGACGGUACCUGGAGAAUAAGCCCCGGCAAACUUCGUGCCAGCCGCCGCGGUAA